GAUGAAGAACGUAGCGAAAUGCGAUACGUAAUGUGAAUUGCAAAUUCAGUGAAUCAUCGAGUCUUUGAACGCACAUUGCGCCCCCUGGUAUUCCGGGGGGCAUGCCUGUCCGAGCGUCAUUGCUGCCCUCAAGCACGGCUUGUGUGUUGGGCCCCGUCCUCCGAUCCCGGGGGACGGGCCCGAAAGGCAGCGGCGGCACCGCGUCCGGUCCUCGAGCGUAUGGGGCUUUGUCACCCGCUCUGUAGGCCCGGCCGGCGCUUUCCGAUCAACCCAAAUUUUUAUCCAGGUUGACCUCGGAUCAGGUAGGGAUACCCGCUGAACUUAAGCAUAUCAAUAAGCGGAGGA
rnacentral:misc_RNA from 1 species